rnacentral:rRNA from 1 species
AUUGAACGCUGGCGGCAGGCCUAACACAUGCGAGUCGAGCGGAUGAAGGGAGCUUGCUCCUGGAUUCAGCGGCGGACGGGUGAGUAAUGCCUAGGAAUCUGCCUGGUAGUGGGGGAUAACGUCCGGAAACGGGCGCUAAUACCGCAUACGUCCUGAGGGAGAAAGUGGGGGAUCUUCGGACCUCACGCUAUCAGAUGAGCCUAGGUCGGAUUAGCUAGUUGGUGGGGUAAAGACCUACCAAGGCGACGAUCCGUAACUGGUCUGAGAGGAUGAUCAGUCACACUGGAACUGAGACACGGUCCAGACUCCUACGGGAGGCAGCAGUGGGGAAUAUUGGACAAUGGGCGAAAGCCUGAUCCAGCCAUGCCGCGUGUGUGAAGAAGGUCUUCGGAUUGUAAAGCACUUUAAGUUGGGAGGAAGGGCAGUAAGUUAAUACCUUGCUGUUUUGACGUUACCAACAGAAUAAGCACCGGCUAACUUCGUG